UAUGAACGCUAGCGGCAGGCUUAACACAUGCAAGUCGAGGGGCAGCAUGAUAAGUAGCAAUACUUAUUGAUGGCGACCGGCGCAAGGUGCGUAACGCGUGAGUAACAUGCCCGUAUCAGGAGGAUAACCCGGAGAAAUCCGGACUAAUACUGCAUAAUAUCGAUUUGAGGCAUCUUGGAUUGAUUAAAGUUUCGAUGGAUACGGAUUGGCUCGCGUGACAUUAGCUAGAUGGUAAGGUAACGGCUUACCAUGGCGACGAUGUCUAGGGGUUCUGAGAGGAAGGUCCCCCACACUGGAACUGAGACACGGUCCAGACUCCUACGGGAGGCAGCAGUGAGGAAUAUUGGACAAUGGAUGGAAAUCUGAUCCAGCCAUGCCGCGUGAAGGAAUACGGUCCUAUGGAUUUUAAACUUCUUUUGUAUGGGAGCAAUAAGGUGUACGUGUACAUCGAUGAGAGUACCAUACGAAUAAG
rnacentral:rRNA from 1 species